CAGGGUGUGGUGCGUCGGCGGUGUGGCUCUGGUGGGUGGAGGAGGAAGACUAGGAAGUCUGGAGGGACAUGUCUCAGUGUGAAGAGGAACAGGAAGUCACAUCUCAGGAGGCACCUGGCAUAAAUACUACACAAUCUGUUUUUGUACUUGUAGGUGUUAAUGAGCACUGUGCCCCUGAGCUCUUUAGAUCUGCAAACCAUGAAUGAUUAAGGCCAAGGGGAAUGGCUAGGAAGCGAUUUGGGAACGGCUGAUCCUUUUACGUGUUCGUUUCAACGCUAUUGAGAAAGCUGUGUUUUUCAAGUUGUUUAUAUCUUCGUUGCUGUGGUUCAACCAGUUAAUGGUGAGCUUUAUGAUGAUGUACACGGUUGGCUACACCUGUCCCUCUCUUCACCACCACUCCUCAAACUAAACCCCAGAAGGAGGCUUUGGAUGAGCAUUUUAAAAGCAACCCUAGAAGAGUAACAGCAUGGAAUGGGUUGUGAGUGUGACCAUACAUGAGUCAGUCACAAUACAUUAAUUUGAGCCAGUUGGCUACAGCAGGAAAAUAAUCCUGCAGCAACAGGACAUGUGAA